GAUGAACGCUGGCGGCGUGCCUAAUACAUGCAAGUCGAGCGAACAGACGAGGAGCUUGCUCCUCUGACGUUAGCGGCGGACGGGUGAGUAACACGUGGAUAACCUACCUAUAAGACUGGGAUAACUUCGGGAAACCGGAGCUAAUACCGGAUAAUAUAUUGAACCGCAUGGUUCAAUAGUGAAAGACGGUUUUGCUGUCACUUAUAGAUGGAUCCGCGCCGCAUUAGCUAGUUGGUAAGGUAACGGCUUACCAAGGCAACGAUGCGUAGCCGACCUGAGAGGGUGAUCGGCCACACUGGAACUGAGACACGGUCCAGACUCCUACGGGAGGCAGCAGUGGGGAAUAUUGGACAAUGGGCGAAAGCCUGAUCCAGCAAUGCCGCGUGAGUGAUGAAGGCCUUAGGGUUGUAAAGCUCUUUUACCCGGGAUGAUAAUGACAGUACCGGGAGAAUAAGCUCCGGCUAACUCCGUG
rnacentral:rRNA from 1 species